AUCCUCAAAACGGUGAGUACAGAGCGAACUAUUCUUUUGCCUUUUACUAAAGAAUACCGUGUGCUCACCGCUUAUAGCGGCAUACACCUAUUUUUGGAGGCCUAUAUCUUUUUCUGGAAU
rnacentral:snRNA from 1 species